AAAACAAGAAAGAACCAAAAGAAAAUGGUUUCUUAGAACAGAGGGUGGGAGGGAAAUGAAAAACUGCUCCACUAGCAAUUAGUGUUGGUUUUGAAUGAAACGACAUCGUUUUAGACCAGAUUUCCGUUUCAAUUUUUCUUGCUGAUUAGUAAAGCGCUCCCUUCAGAAACCGACAGCAAAGAAUUGAUAACUGAACGAAGAAAAAGAUAGAAUGCAAUAAAAAAAAUCAGCAGAAUUUGGAAGACUGACACCUCCUUUCUACAGUCUCCUUCUCACCCAGAUGCGUCAUCUUCUUCCUUUGGUUGCAGAUUUUUUCUCCCUGGAUUUUGAAUCUUUUCAAGCCUUGCUUUUGACCCAGAUCCUGUAAUUGAUUCUGUUUAUUUUCCAAGAUAUAGGAUUUUGAUGGCAGCAGCAGAAGCAAGGGCUGCUUUUCAGAGGACAGUUAAUCGUUGCUUUGUCCAAGAAGAUGCCAAAAGAGCUCCCAGAUUAGCUUGCUGCCAAUCAUCAUCUUCAACAUCCAAACAGGUUGAUUCUGGACCUGCGAAUGCAGCAGCAGAUGGGCCUGAUCAACCUUCGAUUGGUUUUAUGCCUUUUAGCAGAGCUUCCUCAUAUUCAAAUCUGCUUCCUGACACAAAAUGGUGGCUUCAGACGCAAUCUAGUUAUGGAUACCAAAAGAUUUUCACCCCAGAACACGUUAAUGCUUUAGAGGCUGGCAAUGAAACUUCAAAAUCUGCUACUGAAAAAUCAUGUACUUCAAGUGAUAUUCAUCGACCUGAAGGUGGCAAUACUGUCUGUGAAAUUGAUGGUUUUAGCAGGUCUUCUCUAGAUACUGAUCAUGGUGUCUCUGCUCUUUGUACAAAGAGAGUGAAUAGCAUUUUGAAUGAAGACAUAAAAACCUUGGAUGGUACGGAUUCUCAAGAAUGUGUCGGUAGUACAGAUAUGAAAGCAGAAUUUGAAUGUUUAGAUAAGGAUUCUUUCAACAGCAAAACAGUUUCCAAAAAUCAAGACGAGUUUUACUUCGAUCCAGAUUCUCCUUGGAUUCAAGAGGACAAGGCUGAGCCAUGGUGGUGGAUAACAGAUAAAGAUGAAUUGGCCUAUUGGGUUGCGCAGAAAUCUCUUGAUCAUAUCGAGAAUUGCGAUCUUCCGCCUCCUAAAAAAACUUGCUUGAACUUUACGAGAUACCCUUAUGCUCAAAAACAAUGCUAUGAACAUGAUAUAAAUUUGGUAUCUACCUUCGAGUCAACCCAUCGAAAUUGUGGAUUGGAUUUUUGUCGUUUUGGCAAAACACAGAGAGACCUGGGUGAAUCAAUUGAACAAGGAAACAUGCUGCGUGGAUCUCUUAGAUCUUCAAGCUGUACAAAUCCCAGCAACUUGACAAAAACAACACUAAUUUCUGAGGAUAAUACUAGCAAAGCUGAACUAAUGGAUGCACUGCUACAUUCUCAAACCCGUGCAAGGGAAGCCGAGAUUGCAGCAAAGCGAGCUUAUGCUGAGAAGGAGCACAUAGUUGAUCUUUUCUUCAGACAAGCAUCCCAACUCUUUGCAUAUAAGCAAUGGUUUCAACUGCUGCAGCUAGAAAGCCUGCAGAUAAAGAACAACGAUCAGCCCAUGUCGACUCUUUUUCCUUUGGUUCUUCCAUGGAUGUCCUACAAGAAUAUGGUAUCUCAUAAGCGAUGGCAGAGAUUCAGUAGGCAGAAAAGAGUCAAGCGGGAUCGGCAUAGAAGUGAUAUUUCUACUUAUGCUGUUGCUUUUGCUCUAGGAUUGAGCCUGGUCAGUGCAGGUUUGCUUCUGGGGUGGACUGUAGGGUGGAUGCUUCCUUCAUUCUAGGCUUAGUUUGAAUGAACUUCUCUUGGAAGAAAAGAUCAAUUGACAAGGGAAGGAAAGACUCUUCACAGAAAGCUUGGAACUGUCAUUGCAGCACAUGACAGAAUCAAAGAGAACAGUGGAAGGUAGGGAUUUAAACUUAUAAUCACAAUAAUAUUAAUGGUUUCAUUUAUUGUAUCCUCGUUCUUUUGUUAUUUUUAUGGACCCUAUAGGUAAUAUGAUGUUGUAUUUUGAAUUUUUUAAAAAGAAUUUAAUAAGAAAAUCGUUCAUUGUUAGGAUUUUAUACAUUUGUUCUAAGAAGAAGAAGAAAAAAAAAAAAACAAAACAAAAAAAACAAAACAAAAAAAAAAAAAA